UACGAAGGGGGCAAGCGUUGUUCGGAAUUACUGGGCGUAAAGGGCGCGUAGGCGGUGCACUAAGUCAGGCGUGAAAGCCCUGGGCUCAACCCGGGAACUGCGCUUGAUACUGGUGCGCUUGAAUCCAGGAGAGGUUGGUGGAAUUCCCAGUGUAGAGGUGAAAUUCGUAGAGAUUGGGAAGAACCCCGGUGGCGACGGCGGCAAACUGGACUGGUAUUGACGCUGAGGCGCGAAAGCGUGGGGAGCAAACAGG
rnacentral:rRNA from 1 species